rnacentral:ncRNA from 1 species
CCCGCUGAACUUAAGCAUAUCAAUAAGCGGAGGAAAAGAAACUAACAAGGAUUCCCCUAGUAACGGCGAGUGAAGCGGGAAUAGCUCAAAUUUGAAAUCUCAUGGGAAUAACAGCCCGUGCGAAUUGUAGUUUAAAGAAACGUUUUCGAGGCAGCUUUGGGUAUAAGUUCUUUGGAACAGGACAUCAUAAAAGGGUGAGAAUCCCGUAUAUGAUCCAAAUGUCUGUCUUUUGUGAUACGUUUUUCAAAGAGUCGGUUUGUUUGGGAAUGCAGACCAAAAUGGGUGGUAAAUACCAUCUAAAGCUAAAUACUGGCGAGAGACCGAUAGCGAACAAGUACCGUGAGGGAAAGAUGAAAAGAACUUUGAGAGUUAAACAGUACGUGAAAUUGUCAAAAGGGAAACGCUUGAAACCUAAUAAUAGUAGUUGACCUGGACAGGCUGUCCCAGCGAAAAGUGCAUCCCAGAUAGUGGUACAACGAGGAACUCAAGAUUUCCAGACAGUGAUUGAACGAAGUACUUGGGAUGCACUUGGGAUGAACAUUUCUUUUUUGCUUACAGUCAGAGAAGCUAAAAACAAAUCCAUAAGAAUUGCUGGCGAAAACUGCGUUCAAGGCUGCGCUGCAUCGUUACGUUGCUUCUUUUUCUUGCUACAGUUGGUCAGUCUGUAGAAACAAACGGCCCCUCUAAACAGAAAGGGUCCCAUCAACAGCCAAUAAUACACUGUAUUCAAGCAGCCUGUCUUCACAUUG